UUUCCGUAGGUGAACCUGCGGGAGGAUCAUUAUUGCAUAACCGAGGUUCGAGGGCUGUCGCUGACCCGGCAGUGCGUUCACGCCCGAUUGCGCUCACACACAUGCAUCACACCCCUACUUGCUCCACCGCGUGGGUCCCCCUUUUACUUGGGGGGAGAGGGGCUUACGUUUUUACACCAACUUUGGAUGCAGUGUGGAAUUUAUUUUUUGUUUUGUCGAUCACGCAAGCCAUACAACUUUCAGCAAUGGAUACCUUGGCUCUCGCAUGCAUGAAGAACG
rnacentral:misc_RNA from 1 species